AAGUCGUAACAAGGUCUCCGUAGGUGAACCUGCGGAGGGAUCAUUACUGAGUGAGGGCCUUCGGGCUCGACCUCCAACCCUUUGUGAACCAAACUUGUUGCUUCGGGGGCGACCCUGCCGGCAUUCGUCAGCGGGCGCCCCCGGAGGCCAUCAAACACGGCAUCUAUGCGUCGGAGUUUAAAUUCAAUUAAACAAAACUUUCAACAACGGAUCUCUUGGUUCUG
rnacentral:misc_RNA from 1 species